rnacentral:rRNA from 1 species
UGGGGAAUAUUGCACAAUGGGCGCAAGCCUGAUGCAGCAACGCCGCGUGAACGAUGAAGGUCUUCGGAUCGUAAAGUUCUGUUGCAGGGGAAGAUAAUGACGGUACCCUGUGAGGAAGCCCCGGCUAACUACGUGCCAGCAGCCGCGGUAAUACGUAGGGGGCUAGCGUUAUCCGGAUUUACUGGGCGUAAAGGGUGCGUAGGUGGUCUUUCAAGUCGGUGGUUAAAGGCUACGGCUCAACCGUAGUUAGCCUCCGAAACUGGAAGACUUGAGUGCAGGAGAGGAAAGUGGAAUUCCCAGUGUAGCGGUGAAAUGCGUAGAUAUUGGGAGGAAAACCAGUAGCGAAGGCGGCUUUCUGGACUGAAACUGACACUGAGGCACGAAAGCGUGGGUAGCAAACAGG